GGACUGUCUGGGCUUUCCGACACCUGAUUGGAUGGAACGGCCCUGUGUACGCCGACAUCAUUGGAGGACGCUGGAGCCAGGGGGCGGAGCGGAUUCCCCAGGAUUCUUGACCGGGCGCGCUAGUCCGCGGAGCCGGGCGCGGGGCGCGAGAGCGGAGCUGAGCGGGCGGCUGCGGAGGGAAGGUCUCCUAGGCAAUUGGGGUCUUUGAGGCGAAUACGAGGCUGGGGCCGGUUACCGACCGGCCGCUUCUUGCCGAGGCAGUCCAGGCUUUUCCCCUGGCAGUGGCCGCGGCGAGACAGCAUCUGUCAACGCUCCUCUUUUCCCCUCCUCCUCCGGCCGGGCCGGGCUCCGCCGGCUGCGGCCGAGAGGACGCGGGACCCGGCGCGGUGAGCCCAUCAGCUGUCAGGCGAGCGGCGAAGCGGCCGGAGGGCGGCGAGAGACACACAAAGAACGCGGUGGGCGGCGGCGGCGAAAGGGGGCGGCAAAUUCGGGACGGCAACUCCUCCCCGCGCCCGCCGGUGCCACCGCCGCCCGGGCUUGGUCCGAGGCCGCGCAGACAAUGCGGCCGGGCCCCAGAGUGCGGGGCGCCUGCGCUCCCCAGACCCCAACUUGACCGUCACCCUGCUCACCCAGCCCCCUCCCGGGAUAGGGGCGCCCCCCUCGUUCCGGCAGCCGGCGAAGGAAGUCUGUCCGCGGCCGCGUAGCCCGGCAACUUGCAAGCCGGGAAAAGUUUGCGGCGCCUCCGCGGGGCGGCGCGACGCGGCCCGCCCCACGCGUCCGCGGUCACCGAGGGUGACUUUCUCGACUCGUCGUCAGCCGGGGCCGCAGCGCGGCCGACGAGGACUGCGGGGAGGGCCGGAGUCGGUCCGAGGGCUCCCGCACCUGGGGCUGCGGAUGUCAGGUACUUCACUGGGCAUUUUCUCUUCAUGGAGCUUAUAGCAACAAAAGUUAUUUACAAACCACCAGACAUGUUGGCAUCAUCUCUUAGUUGGGCCCUGUGACCAGGGAACCCCUCAUGAAACCACCUCUGCAGCCUGGAGAGUUGCUGUAGAAGAAGGAAAAAAAGAGGAAGACAACGCAACGCAGGAGGAGAUAAGUACCUCUGGACAAAAUGGAAGUAGUAGUUGUUGAACAGAGGGAAAAGGGAUGGGAGAAGGAUGUGGACUGCAAUGUUGCAGUGCCAGCUAAUAACUUUCAUCAUGUACCUCCUUGGCUCAGGUACUGUCUCUUCUACUCUUUUCCUUACUUGUACUACCUUAUUUAGCCCUUAAUUAUAUACUUUCUUGACUCACUUUCAGAAACACUGAUUAUGUGGUCUGCCUCAAAGACAGAAUCCUAGUUUUGGAUUUUAGCCUUA